rnacentral:lncRNA from 1 species
GUGAACGUCAGGCUAAACCCUGCAACAGUCGCCUUCCUGCUGGAGCACUCCGUCGCCGAGGUGGUGAUGGUCGACCAGGAGUACUUCACUCUGGCGGAGGAUGCGCUGAAGAUCAUGGAGGAGAAGAAGGGGCACAGAUUCCGGGCCCCACUCCUGAUCGUCAUCGGCGACGAGACCUGCGACAGGCGGACGCUCCAGUACGCGCUCAGCAAGGGGGUCAUGGAGUACGAGGAGUUCCUACGGUCCGGCGACCCCGAGUUCGCCUGGAGCCCCCCUGAGGAUGAGUGGCAGAGCAUCGCCCUGGGGUACACCUCCGGGACGACCUCCAGCCCCAAGGGCGUGGUGCUGCACCACAGGGGCGCCUACCUCAUGGCCCUCAGCGGCGCUCUCGUCUGGGGAAUGAACGAGGGGGCUAUUUACCUGUGGACUCUCCCCAUGUUUCACUGCAACGGCUGGUGCUACACUUGGACCCUGGCCGCCCUCUGCGGGACGAACAUAUGCCUCCGCCAGGUAGGAUGGUCGCCGAUCGCCUUGCUUGUCCGAGAUGCUCUGCCACUCGUCCUCAGAUGGUGGUGCUUGUGCAGGUGACGGCUCGGGCUGUCUACUCGGCCAUAGCCAACCUCGGCGUGACUCACUUCUGCGCAGCCCCCGUCGUUCUCAAUACUCUCAUCAACGCAGGCCCCGGGGAGACGAUCCUCCCCCUUCCGCGCACC